rnacentral:lncRNA from 1 species
UUGCUCACCACCUUUUUCAUAUCUUGCUUCCCCCUGCCUCUUCUUCUGGUGAUUUUCCUACCUGCCUGGUUCGAAAAACUGACAGUUGUGGAUCCAUUGGGAUCUAAAACAGCAGCGGAAUUUCCAGGGCUGGAGCUCCAUUGAAAGGACAAAUUAGAGACAUGCUCAGAACCAUGUCCAGAAUGAUGUCCUGAUACCCCAUU